rnacentral:rRNA from 1 species
CAAGGAAUUUUCCGCAAUGGGCGCAAGCCUGACGGAGCCACGCCGCGUGCAGGAAGACGGCCCUCGGGUUGUAAACUGCUUUUGUCGGGGAAGAUAAUGACGGUACCCGACGAAUAAGCCCCGGCUAACUCCGUGCCAGCAGCCGCGGUAAGACGGAGGGGGCAAGCGUUGUCCGGACUCACUGGGCGUAAAGGGCGUGCAGGCGGCCUUAUGCGUCGGCGCUGAAAGCGCCCGGCUUAACCGGGCGAGGUGCGUCGAUACGAUAGGGCUAGAGGUAGUGCGAGGCUGGCGGAAUUCCGGGUGUAGUGGUGAAAUGCGUAGAGAUCCGGAGGAACGCCCGUGGCGUAAGCGGUUAGCUAGCACUGACCUGACGCUCAUGCGCGAAAGCGUGGGGAGCGAACCGGAUUAGAUACCCCCGUAGUCC